rnacentral:rRNA from 1 species
GACGAACCGUACGAACGUUAUUCGGAAUCACUGGGCUUAAAGGGUGCGUAGGCGGCGCGACAAGUUGGGUGUGAAAUCCCUCGGCUCAACCGAGGAACUGCGCCCAAAACUGUCGUGCUCGAGGGAGACAGAGGUGAGCGGAACUUAGGGUGGAGCGGUGAAAUGCGUUGAUAUCCUAAGGAACACCGGUGGCGAAAGCGGCUCACUGGGUCUCUGCUGACGCUGAGGCCCGAAAGCUAGGGUAGCGAGCGGG